rnacentral:rRNA from 1 species
CCCUUAGAUGUUCUGGGCCGCACGCGCGCUACACUGAUUCAUGCAACAAGUUUUGUCCUUGGCUGAUAGGCCUGGGUAAUCUUUGAACGUGAAUCGUGAUGGGGAUAGAUGAUUGCAAUUAUUCAUCUUCAACGAGGAAUUCCUAGUAAACGCAAGUCAUCAGCUUGCAUUGAUUACGUCCCUGCCCUUUGUACACACCGCCCGUCGCACCUACCGAUUGAAUGGUCCGGUGAAAUCUUCGGAUCUGAGAGAUGUCUGAUUAAUUUCAGACGCCUUUUGGAAAAGUUGUUUAAACCUUACCAUUUAGAGGAAGGUGAAGUCGUAACA